AAAAAAAGCUCACAGUUAAUGACUUUUUUCAUUCGUUGGUGUCCCAGCCGUGUUGUGUUUGUACAGUGCAAUUAAAGUAUUGUAUUCAUGAAUUCCUACCCCCCAACCAGGUUCCGGGGCUUGCCUUCAGAACUGGAACCUUUGUGUAUCCCCAUCCCUACUUGAAGAUGUGAUUAAAAAAUUGAAGUCUUCUACCUAUCUUUGACAUGUCAAGGGGCUUGCUUCUGACAUGUCUGAUGAGCGCAUUCCUGCUGUUGCUCCUGGCUAUUACAAGGUGUCGCUGUGGAAGACUGUUCCUGUACAGCUGUGUGAACCUGCCUCGUCACGGCUUCCUCUGCAGUGCUCUUGAAUAUCCCGGUUCCUGCUUAGGCCACAGCAGUCAGUCCAGGGAGAAGCAUCCUUCUACUCCCUCACUGUCCAGGUUGGCUGAAGAUGCUCUGCACUUGACCUCCUGACACUAACUUCCUUGCCUUUUCCCAUGGCAAGAGCAAGUCAUGGACUCUGAACUACUUCCUCUCCCUUUCUUCUAUUUAUUUUAUUUUAUUUUAUAUUUGUGAUGGAGUCUCGCUCUGUCACCCAGGCUGGAGUGUGGUGGUGUGAUCUUGGCUCACUGCAACCUCCGCCUCCCAGGUUCAUGCAAUUCUCCUGCCUCUGCCUCCCAAGUAGCUGGGAAUACAGGUGCCCACCACCAUGCCCGGCUAAUUUUUGUAUUCUUAGUAGAGGUGGGGUUUCACCAUGUUGGCCAGGCUGGUCUCUUAACUCCUUACCUCAAAUGAUCCACCCAUCUUGGCCUCCCAAAGUGCUGGGAUUAUAGGUGUGAGCCACUGCACCCAGCCCUUCCUCUCCCUUUCUCUUUGGAGUUCCCCUCACAAACAGGUGAGGCAGCUUUUUCAAGGGCAUUCCAAGCACAAAAGACCUUGUUGUACCUAAAUACUAUAAGGGACCUGUCAUUGAGGACGCACCAUCACAGCAAGAGGAAUUAUCUCGUGCCGCAUCUUCGCAUAACUGACAGGAUCCCUG
rnacentral:lncRNA from 1 species